GCUCAUAGUACUUUUCCCCCUUUUUCUCUUUGUGGGGCUUGAUAGGGGGCUAUUUAAAAACAGCGACAGCAAAUCAGAUGCGGCCAAGCAAAAGGCGUUUACUUCGCCUCCAGUGGCUCGAGGUGCAAAAAUCCUCCACAAGCACUGUUUUCCUUUUAAACUAACACCGCGUGGAAUAAAGUGUAGUUUUCUUGGGUGAACCUCGGGAACAUUUGCGGUGGUGGAAACAGGGGAUGAUUCGAGGAAGGUGGAAAUGCAGAUCAAUUGGGAAAUAGCGGAGAACAUCGCCUCUGCUUUCCGCGGCAACAGACAGAGCAGGCAACUAUCGACUCUGCACUGCACUGCGCGGCGCUGCAUCCAAAAUGCACGACGGCAACAAAAAAAGAUUGUAUUAAUCUGCAGGAGGCCUCAUCUGGUGACAUCUUCAUACAUGAUGCUCUCUGCUCUCAAAACACCAGCGACUCCUUGGGAUCAGCGUGCAGGUGAUCGCAGCGAGUGGCAGAGAGAGAAAUCGACCCAGCCCACAGUCCUAUUGCUCUUAUCGAGACACACUUUAGCAGCCUACCCUGAGCAACCUGAAGACACUGCGUUCAGCUACUCAACACAUGAAAACAUUUAAUAAAAUACAGAGCAUUUACCCACCAUGAAAAACAGUGUGUGUAAUUACCCUCCUAGGAAUUUUUGCAUAUUAGUAAAAAAGAAGUUAUGAUAAGUACCUUUUUUUCUCUGCUUUCUGUUCCUACAACCAGACCUGUUUUACAUGAAGGAUCAGGGAUGUCAGUAAGAAUGAGGCGCCUGCUCUUAAUCAUCGGGACAAAUACACCAUUAACUACACCAUUCAUUCUCCUGAAUCUGCAUUGAGUAUGGUAAACUCUGCUCAUUACCCAAGCAGAUGCUUUAAAAGCCAGACUGGAUGGGAUCAAAGGCCAGAGAGGGAGCGAGAGAGACGGGCUCUCUGGCUCCCACUGCUUCAGCUCAUUUUCAUUAUCCUACACACCGACCGAAAUAGCGAUCACAUUAUGCAUUAACGCUUUUAAAAGCUUCUCUCGUUCUCUGCCGGCCUCUUGAACACCGCUAAAUAUUGGAAGAGUUUCGUUGUGUUCCCAAAAUGACUCAGGAAGCCGGUCAACAGCCCAGCAGGGAUCCAGCGGUAGCAUCGCUUGAUUUGAUCUUUAGACAUAGACCUAUCACGACCCAGUAGGACGGCAAUAAAGAAGAGUUAAGGCAUGUGUGAGCGUACACACAAGCACACGUACAUAUGGAGAACACUUUAAGGAGCACAUCGUAUGCUUGUGUCAGGGAAAAAAUGAGAGAUAAAUGUGUGUGUGUGUGUGUGUGUGUGUGUGUGUGUGUGUGUGUGUGUGUGUGUGUGUGUGUGUGUGUGUGUGUGUGUGUGUGUGUGUGUGUGUGUGUGUGUGUGUCUAUGUAUCUGAGAGAGAAAGGGAGAGAGAGAAAAAUAGAGCAACAAUUUGUGGGAGAAAGUGUGUGCACACAUGCAAAAACGGUGUCUGUGUGUGUGUUUGUGUGUGUUUGUUUGUGUGCGUGUAAAGGCAUGCACUUGUGACUGUUUCUGCAUGUGCAAGUGUGUGCACAUGGUUGUGUGUGUAGAAAAGAGCGAAUAGUAAUAGAUAUUUACAUCCUCCCAAACAAGAAAGACUGCUGAAUCCUUUCGUCCCCGGAGCAGAGGAGAGGAUAGGGAGGUAGAGAGAGAGCAGUAAAGAGAUGUAGAGAGAGAGAGAGGUAGAGAGAGUGCAGUAAAGAGAGGUGGAGAGAGAGAGAGGUAGAGAGAGAGAGAGGUAGAGAGAGCACUAGAGAGAGAGGCAUAGAGUACAGCAGAGAGAGCAGUAGAGAGAGAAAGGUAGAAAGAGAGCAGUAGAGAGAGAGAGUUAGAGAGAGCCGUAAAGAGAGAGCAAAAGAGAGAGAGUGGUAGAAAGAGAGCAGUAGAGAGAGAGUGUUAGAGUGAGCGGUAGAGAGAGAGAGAGAGAGAGCGGUAGAGAGAGAGGUAGCAACAGAGAGAGAGAGAGCGGUAGAGAGAGAGGUAGCAACAGAGAGAGCGGUAGAGAGAGAGCGGUAGAGAGAGAGGGGAGAGCGAGGGCUCGGGCGGCUAGGGGGUCUAGCGGUGGCGCGCUGAACGCCGGAGGUCCCAGGUAUAUGGAUGGCCUGAGGAGGCUUCCAUCAUUCAUAAAGCAGUGGACGCCGUACACCGCCGCCGCAGCCUCCGCCGUGAAUUGAUCUUGCAAAAGAAGCCGGGUGGCACGGCAACCACUUCAUUAGUCUCCCCGAGCAACAAAUCACCUGCGGCGCUCACGGAGAGACUCAGGAGGGACCCGACCGGCAUCCACCCCCACCACCACCGACCAUCACCCAAC
ensembl:lncRNA